AUGAAGUGUUCCUCUAGACUCCUGUGUGGACUCCUCAUGUCAUGCCUUUGUUUCAGAGGUUCAUAUGAGGAGCUGACUGUGAUUCAGAGCCCAUCUAGUAUCACUGUGAAUGAAGGACAAUCUGAUCAAAUCAGCUGCUGCUGGAAUAAAACAAAAGAAGAAAACAAUGAUUUUAAAGUAGUUUGGUAUAAGGAUAAUGAAAGAAUACCGGUAGAAAAGCGGCUAAAUCAAACGUCCCCUAUGAAAAACUGCUCCUUUCUGAAAAUCAUAAAUAUAGGUAAAAAUGACACUGGAGAUUAUGUUUGUAAAGUGAUUCAGGACAUACCAGUUCUGCUAGAAUAUGAGGGACAAAAAACAUACCUGAAUGUCAGUAAAGGUGAACACAGGACUGAGGCAACAACUCAAAACAUCAUUGCAGGCAGUGCUAGUACAUCUUCCUACAAAACUCAAAGCAAUGGGACUACCGGCCCCCCUUCAACUCCCAUCCUGCCUCUAUCUCUGGGCCUGGCUGCUGCCAUCGGCCUGCUGACCCUCUGCUUGGCCUUCAGUGUGUGCAAGAUGAGAAACUCCUGUAAAAAAUCAGAGCGAGUGGUCAUUCACCAGACGCCACACAGUGAGGGUGAGGAGCAUGAGAACAUGGAAGAAGAGGAAGGUAGCACAGGCUCCUCUCGAGGAUCCCUACAAUGGCACAACUUCUGA
rnacentral:lncRNA from 1 species